rnacentral:tRNA from 1 species
GGGGAUCCUCUUGAGCCACGCGGCCAAAGGGGGCAGACUGUAAAUCUGUUGUCAUCGACUUCGGUGGUUCGAAUCCACCAUCCUCC